rnacentral:lncRNA from 1 species
AACAUUUACCUGCACUGCUAACGGCAAUCCGUAUGUAUCGUAUUUACGCAUCGACCCCCUGGGCCUCGAGUGCGAUCUGGUGAACACAUGUACGGUGUCUUCGUAGCAUCUUCGGCCCCACGGAUAGUUGUUGAACGCAUCGAUGUCGUCAACAACUAGCAAAUGAAAAAUGUCGAUGGCAGUCUUCUUGUGAUGACACCUCAUCACACUCUCGAGGAUGUAGACCAGCCCAAGCUUCAAUCUAUCUAGCAUAUGGUCGCACCCCCUGAUCGCGGCCAUCAAGUCGGGUAGAAGCACCGACCCAUGUCCCUGGAAGUACGUCUCGUACAGCCUACUGCUUCUCUCCAUGGCUGCAUCGUCGCCCGUAAUCUGCAGUCCAGUGAUCAAUGUAAACUCAAACAUCGAGAAACUGACGACCUUGCCCCCGAGGUCGAACUGGAGGGAAUCGCCGUCGACUGGACUCAGAAGCCGACAUAGAAGUGCAUCAAUGAUCUGUCCUGAAUACUGCACCUCUCGCAACUGGUACAGUGGCCACAAGAAGGACUGUCGUAGAAUAUCUCCGUGCUGAUCAUCGAGCAGCUCCAAUACAGCAGUAAAACUCUCAAAGCUACUGUUCCAAGUAGCUUUCCCCGACAUCCGUCUCAACUCUGCAUCUAA